AAGUAACGGGGUGAAGAAGAAGGAAUCGGAUAAAAGUGGAACUUAGGAGGAGGGGAACAGAGGAAGGUGACAGCAGGUGAGGAGGUGAGCAUAGGUGUACCGUGGAGAGCAUUUGAACUGGCUGCAUCGCUGGCUGGUCUGGAGAUGCGACUGCACAGGAUCGGGAAAAGCCGCAGAAAGGUGUAAACUUAGUCAGCUCCAUCAUGGGCACUAGUCUCCCCGGUACCGUGGGCAUCUUUGAAAAGUGGUGCCUUAAAAAGGCAACAUCCAUUAUUAAGGACCCCCAUCACCCAGGACAUGCCCUCUUCCCAUUGCUACCAUCAGGGAGGAGGUACAGGAGCCUGAAGACACA